AGUGUGUUUAUUUUUUUUGACACAUGCUAAUUUUUUGAGCUACAGCUUCAAACAGGAAAUCACUAGUUGUGUGUCAUUUCUUGGUUAGGUCAGUGUAUUUGGGCAGUUAGUUGGUUUGUCAAGUUUAGACUCCAAUCAGCCUUCACACCUGAUUCCCAUCAAGUCACCAGCAUAUAAGACCAGCGCUCACAACAGACCUCUGAAAGAUCUACUGCUAACUCACGUUAGUGCUAGGCCGCCAAACUCUUGUGAGAGCCCCUUAACACUUGCAUUUCUCCUCACCAUGUUUUCUCUUUGUCAUAGGACCCACCUGGCCGUCACGCUUCACAAGUUGAACUACACGCAUCUCUGUCUGGACGCUGGUUCUCUGUUAUCAGGUUGCUCCCUUUUCAUCGUAAGACUUCACCUGCCUGCCUCCCUGCCAGGUCUGUUGCUUCAAGUGUAUUCUGGACCCUCUCUGGACACUCCUCACCCAGAUCCCCCCUGGACACCCCUCCUCACAUGACACUUUCACCUGCAACGCUGACUGUGCACCUCCACCCAGGCCACUGCCCCUUUUUCCCUCCCCAGGACCUGUCUAUGAAAUCUUCAUCUAGUCAUAGGCACUCAUUCUGAGUUUCAUGUUCAUAGUUUGGCCUCAUAGUUCUCAGUUCAUAGCUUUCACAGUUCAUAGCCUUCAUAGAUUCCUGCUUUGUAAUUUAACUAGGCACUGUAAAUAAAGCACUGUGUUCACGCCCGUUUUGCCUCCCUCUGUGUCUGCAUUUGAGUCCACACACACAGCCUGGCCCUCUCGGCCGUAACAUAAACAAGUUGAAGGAAGUGAUAAAAAGGUAACAAGUCAUUGAGUAACUUCAGUUUUCUGAUGAUCUGACAGACGCAGACGGAGUGAAGUAUCAGACGCUGUUCUUCUGAAGUUUAACAACUUUUCUGCAUCAGGAUUAAAGUCAGAAUGAAAAUCCUCCAUUUUCUCUUCUUCUGCUUCUUGUCAGAUCCAGCUGUGCUCGUCAAGGCAAAGCACAAUAUUUGGUCUGCAGCUGAAGGAGGAAAUGCUACACUUAGCUGCUACUUAUCUUUGUCUGGAAGCACAAAGUUCUUCUGUAAGGAAAAAUGUGAGCGAGCAGAAGAUAUCCUCAUUAAAACAGAUGGAAGCACAGCUCAGUGUGGGAGAUACAGCAUUAAAUAUAAAGAUGGAUCUUCAGGAAAAGGAAUUGUGUCUGUGACCUUCACACAUAUGAUCAAGUCUGACUCAGGAAUGUACAGGUGUGCUUUGGGAAGACCUUCUGCUCCAGAUUCAUACUAUGACUUUGAGGUCAGAGUUUCAAAUGGUGAGUUUGUACUAAAAGUCACUGAAGUCAAAAAACGUGGAGAUCCACUGACUAGCUCUCAUUUAGCAAUACAGACCACUUUUAGAUCAAGCGCUUUAAUGAAUUAAUAGAAGCAAUUUUAAUAACAUGCAUUUGAUUUGAAAUGUAACAACUGUACUAAAAUAACUUCCAUUGAAUUUCUAACACCUCCGUGUAAAGCCUACAACAGUAUGCAACAAUUUAUUGACGAGCUGUGAGUCAUCUGUACUUCAACGGUCUGUAGAUCUACCCUUCAAGUUCAUAGUAUGAAGGUAAUGUUUUGCAUGGCUUUAUUAAAUAUUUUAAAACAAAAAGUGUUUAUUCUGAAGGGAUCAGGUACGAAUCUUUUUCCAGAUUUGACUGAUUUAAUAUGAAAUACAAUCAUAAUAUAACCGCUUACAAACUGGUUCAGUUCAGACUAAUUUUGUUCUAUUUCACAGAUCUGGGUAAAAAUGUUGGUUUUUAUCACACAAAAACUGAGGGAGAAAACAUGACAUUGGGAUGUUCCAAUACUGUGUAUAGACAGAGGAAGUUCUUUUGUAAGAAUCAGUGUAAGAGUGAAGGGGAGAUCCUCAUUGACACAACUAAUAACAAAUCUGAGAGUGGCAGAUACAGCAUUGAAUACAGACCAGGAUCUACAUUUGGACUGUAUAUGACCAUCACACAGCUGACCAAGUCAGACACAGGACGGUACAGGUGUGGUUAUGGAAACCCUCUGUCUCCAGAUUCAUACGACAAUAAUGAUGUUCUUGUCAUCGAUGGUAAGCUCUUUUUUAAAAAUGGUAUGCUUUUUUCAUAUUCCAUGUGCAUACUAUUAGUAAUAAUAGAUGAUGACAGCUCAGACAGUAAAGUAAAGAAAAUUAGAACAACAACAGAACAUGAACAUUUUAGUGAUUUUGUUAUGAGAUUGUUGCUACUACCAGAGAUUAGCUGAUACAUUGGCUAAGAUAUCAUUAUAUGCUUUGUUAGAAAUUGUGAUCUAAAAUUGAGGGACAUCAUCUAACAUUUUCACUAAAGCUGAGUGUUUCUACUCUUGCAGGUGAAAAUGUUUGUAGUGUGCUUUAUAUGAGAUUUUUCCAGUUUAAUGUGUAAAAGAUUAUUAACUCAUCCAUCAUCUAAUCUGAUGAGAUUGAGACUGUACCUGACUUUGUGGUCUAUCAGGAAGAUUUUGUUAUCAACAUUUCGCUGCAUUUUGUGUUUGAUAAAUGUUUGUAUUUGCCCCUGUGAUAACAUGAUUAUUAUUAUUCUGCAUUUGUCUGUAUUACUAUUGAUUUAGAGUUUUGUGUGUGUGUUUAUUGUACUUCAAACACUUCAAACCCACCUGCUUCCACGCCACAAACAGCAGCAACAACACAGAGUGAAAGUGUCCCUCCAGGAGUCUCUACACAUUGUCCUGACUCCUCCUGGCUUCUGGUUGUGCGUGCGUCCUUGGAUGGUGUUUUGCUGAUGGCUGUUUUCCUCAUGCUCUUCUACAUUAGUAAGACAAGGAGGAACUUUGGACUGAACACCAGAGAAAAUGACACAAACAUGGAGUUAUUUCAGGUAUGAUAACCUCCAGACAUAAAGAGUCCAAAAGGACCAGGACCAAACCUACUCUGCAUUAUUAAAGACCAAGAUUUAAAAUUUUGUUACUUUACCUGUUUUCAAUUUUGGCCAAUGUACUAGUGUCCUACAUAUUGUUGGCGUAUAUGUGUGUGUUUGUGUGUAAGCUGGGAUAGACACAUGCUUCUGAUUGCUUUAAAAAUACCUUUUGUAAUUUCAGUAGCUGUAUAUUAAAUGUUAACAACGGGAACUUUCUUUGUAACUCUUGUUCCCCAAAUAUAACUUUAAGUGGAAGAGGUUGUACACAUUUGGUUUUACUUCAUAUAUUUUUGUCUAAUGUACAAUUUACAAAUUUAUGUGAUUACUUACUAUAUAUUUGAAGCUACUGGCUGUUGUUACAAGACUUUUUUUUUUUUGAAAAUACAAAUUAAUGUGAUGUUUUCUGGUGGGAAUACAGAUUUUUCUUAUUGAACUCAAGGGCAAACUUCAUGUUAUUGUUGCAUUUUGUGUUUAAGAAAUGUUUGUAUUUGCCCGUAUAUGAUUAUUAUUUGACUGCAUUUGUCUGCAUCGAUUUAGUAUUGAUUUGUUUUGUGUUUAUUGUUCAAGGUCAAUGCCAAGAUGUAAGAUAUCAGAUGGAAGCUGUAUGUUUCAGGAGUUUAGUUUUCAGUUUCCUUUGUCCCUUUAUGUUUUGGAUCUAUACAAACCUGCUAUCAGCCUGCAAUUAUCAGCUCUUUAGUUCACAUCAGUCUGCCUUCAAUAUCCUGCACUUUGGUCCUCACACUCCACUACACUUGACAUAAGGUUUAUAUUAAAACUGGUAAUUAUUAUGUGAAUCAGGUCAUAUUACAAAGCAAUGCAAAAACAAUGUAACAAGUCCAGCAGUGAAUUCAUUCUUUAAAUAACAUGAUGCAUAAAUUAAAAAAACACAUGUAAUAUGGAUGGAUCGCUUUUAAAUUCACUGAAAGAUGAACACAGAGCAAAUACAAGCUGCCGUUUUCUCCUCUUCUUUACUUGGUGGUUGUUUGCUUACUUCAGCCAGCUGUUUUAUCAAGUCUCUAUCAAGUAUCAACUCUCCCUCGUCUUUGACGUGACAUCA